rnacentral:rRNA from 1 species
UCCUACGGGGCGCAGCAGUCGGGAAUAUUGCACAAUGGAGGAAACUCUGAUGCAGUGACACCGCGUAUAGGAAGAAGGUUUUCGGAUUGUAAACCUCUGUCUUCGGUGACGAAACGAGACGGUAGCCGAGGAGGAAGCCACGGCUAACUACGUGCCAGCAGCCGCGGUAAUACGUAGGUGGCAAGCGUUGUCCGGAAUUACUGGGUGUAAAGGGAGCGUAGGCGGGAAAGCAAGUUGAAUGUUUAAGGUACGGACUCAACCUGUACAAGCGUUCAAAACUGUUUUUCUUGAGUGGAGGAGAGGUA